UUUGCAUCCGCUCCUACUUGAGAGAUGAGUUUUUCAACUUCCUUUUCCGAUUCUCCUUCUCUUCAGUCGGAUUCUCCUUCUUCUUCAGUCGGAUUUGUAUGUUCUGCUGAGUUGCUUCUCUCUAUCCGUCACUCUUUCAAAGUGUGAAUUUUUUGUUGGUCUGAAAAAGGUAAUAUGGAGGAUUUGCUGCACCCCUUACAUACUACGCUUGGCUGGAGUAUCAAUUUUUGUAAUCUUAACAGGAGAUAUAACAAUUAAUUCGAUGCAAGAAGAGAGGCCAUUAGGAUUCAAACUCUACAUGUAGUAGUGCUACUCGAGCAGUCAAGACCUCCUAAAGAUAGAUCUGAAAUCAUCUCCUUAGAUACUAUACAAUCAUUCUUUAUGGGAUUGUUAAUAAAUUAGUUAUUUCAUGUAAUUAGUCAUUCCUCUUUGUUAUGAAAAUUUUCUUUGUUAUGAAAAUUUUAAUAUGUCUAGCAACUCUUGGGAAAAUAUUUAACGAAUGAUUUCCACGAAGAACCUAUGUUUUAUGGAUGUUCUUUCAAAGAUGCUAACUCAUAAAAUGCACCCUUUUCACAUUGUGAAGUUUGACGUUGGGCCCGUGCGUUGCUAGUAUGACAAAAUAUAGGAGUUGAAUAGAUGACCUUUUAGGUUUAUAAUGAGUGUUGUUUUUCUUUGACAUGUAAUGAAAUCUCAAUUGGAUAAUAUAGUAGUGUGUGUAUAUAUAUAUAUACACUUAUUGUCAUGGUGAGUUUGAUAACAAUUUGAUAUCUUUUCCCAUCCAAUAUUUUGUAGAUACUGAUUUUGUUAAUUUACUUUCAUACAUAGAAGCUUGAAUAGAUGAUAAUUCUUUUGGUGCUAUUGUUAUGACGGAGAUCUUAGUGAUAUUCUUUUUCCUGAUAUUUUGUAGAAACUGAAUUCCGUCAUUUUAUGGAUCAGGC